rnacentral:rRNA from 1 species
UACGGAGGAUGCAAGCGUUAUCCGGAUUUAUUGGGUUUAAAGGGUUCGUAGGCGGAAAAAUAAGUCAGUGGUGAAAUCCUGCAGCUCAACUGUAGAACUGCCAUUGAAACUAUUUUUCUUGAAUAUAUAUGAAGUAGGCGGAAUGCGUCAUGUAGCGGUGAAAUGCACAGAUAUGACGCAGAACACCGAUAGCGAAGGCAGCUUACUAAUGUAUUAUUGACGCUGAUGAACGAAAGCGUGGGUAGCGAACAGG